ACCAUUUCUAAUAGGCAUUUCAAGUAUUUGGAUUCAGAAGCUCAAUUCCAAUUAUGAGUUAAAUUCUAAACACCAAAUAGGGUUUGAGCCAAAAUAAAUUAAGACAUUAGAAAUCUGUUUCCAAGCGGAAAGAAUGAGUUGAGUUCUGGCUCUAUACUUUUGUUUAUCUAGGGAGUUGUGUUUUGCUCUACAAAGUUGUUCUUAAUGGUGGUCUUUUAUAAGUAGUUAGAGUUAUUCAUUUUUUAUGUAAUGCAGAUUUUGAUGAAGAUGAUAUUUCAGGCUUCAUUGCUGAUUAUGCUGUUAGCAUUUCAAAUUUAGCGGUUGAAGAUAUCAUCUCAAAAUUCAAGAGUUUGCAUGAUCUAGUGGAAAUUUUACAUUUAUCGUCAUCAUAUGAAAAGCUGAUUAUGUAUUGCUGUGAUUUAGGCAAGGUUGAUGUUGUACUUGAUCUUGUUGAUAAUAUGUGUGAAGCAGGGUUUACAUUGUCAA